AUGAACGCUGGCGGCGUGCCUAAUACAUGCAAGUCGCGCGAACGGACGAGAAGCUUGCUUUUCUGAUGUUAGCGGCGGACGGGUGAGUAACACGUGGAUAACCUACCUAUAAGACUGGGAUAACUUCGGGAAACCGGAGCUAAUACCGGAUAAUAUUUUGAACCGCCUGGUUCAAAAGUGAAAGACGGUCUUGCUGUCACUUAUAGAUGGAUCCGCGCUGCAUUAGCUAGUUGGUAAGGUAACGGCUUACCAAGGCAACGAUGCAUAGCCGACCUGAGAGGGUGAUCGGCCACACUGGAACUGAGACACGGUCCAGACUCCUACGGGAGGCAGCAGUAGGGAAUCUUCCGCAAUGGGCGAAAGCCUGACGGAGCAACGCCGCGUGAGUGAUGAAGGUCUUCGGAUCGUAAAACUCUGUUAUUAGGGAAGAACAUAUGUGUAAGUAACUGUGCACAUCUUGACGUUACCUAAUCAGAAAGCCACGGCUAACUACGUG
rnacentral:rRNA from 1 species